rnacentral:ncRNA from 1 species
AAACUUGAGAGUUUGAUCCUGGCUCAGAACGAACGCUGGCGGCAUGCCUAACACAUGCAAGUCGAACGAAGCCUUCGGGCUUAGUGGCGCACGGGUGCGUAACGCGUGGGAAUCUGCCCUUGGGUUCGGAAUAACAGUUAGAAAUGACUGCUAAUACCGGAUGAUGUCUUCGGACCAAAGAUUUAUCGCCCAAGGAUGAGCCCGCGUAAGAUUAGCUAGUUGGUGGGGUAAUGGCCCACCAAGGC